rnacentral:rRNA from 1 species
GACGAACGCUGGCGGCGUGCCUAAUACAUGCAAGUCGAACGCAGUGGGGACGAGUGAGUACAACGUGGGUAACCUCCCGUCAGAGGGGAUAACAGUUGGAAACAGGUGCUAAACCGAUACUGAUGGAUGGACACGCGGUGCAUUAGCUAGUUGGUGGGGGACCGGCUCACCAAGGCCACGAUGCAUAGCUGGCCGGAGAGGUUGAUCGGCCACACUGGGACUGAGACACGGCCCAGACUCCUACGGGAGGCAGCAGUAGGGAAUCUUCGGCAAUGGACGAAAGUCUGACCGAGCAACGCCGCGUGAGUGAAGAAGGUUUUCGGAUCGUAAAACUCUGUUGUUAGGGAAGCGGUAUCUAACCAGAAAGCCACGGCUAACUCCGUGCCAGCAGCCGCGGUAAUUC